CGUUUAAACUUCACAAAAUUUUGUUUGCACAAAAUUAACUUGAUAUUAACCGACGAAGUAAAAGAACAAUGAUAAUUUAAUGUUAUCUGAUGAUAUAUCUAGGAACAAAGUCCACCAAAAUUAUGCAAUGGUUUGUUGAAUAAGUUUUGCAAAAUUAGUUACAAAAUUAUAAGUUAUUUCAAGUUUUAGAGAAUAUUAAGACGAUGUUUAGUUGUUCACGAAUCACUAUAUUGCUAAUUAAUUAGGAAGCUAGACUUCAAGGCCUAUACAACACGAACAUUUCUCGGAUUAGGCGCGUCUCGGUGUCGGACAUACGUCGGUAUUCGACACUGACACGACACACAUGAUUUUAUUGAAUUUUGUUAUUUUCUCAUAUUAUUAUCGGUAUCGAUGUGUUAGUGUCCGCGUCAUAUCCGGUAUCGGUGUUUGUCGUGCUUGAAAGCUUCAGACAAUUUUAUUUAAAGGCAAGGGGUGAAACAUACGAUAUUAAAAUUAUUUAUCCAAGAUGGUAACUAUAAGAAAAUGUGGCAUCUGAAUUAUGUAAAACUCAGUCCAUUAACAGCAACAUUUGAACCCUGCACAAGAAAGCUUACAUGUACAACAAGUAAAGCAAUGGAACCAAUUGCAACUAUUACAACUUGAGUUGGAACAAAAAGCACAUGCUGGUUUAGAUUGGAUAAUUGCUGUCUCUGAUCCUUCUUUAUAUGAUUCUUGUCUAAGAGCAUCAUCUGUCUUCACAAAACUAUUUCCAUCUGUUUCUCUCAAACUGCAACAAUUCCAAACAAAUUGAAAUCAAUGUGCUUUUACAGUUUUUACAGCUUGUGAAUAAAUGGAGCAAAUAAUAAGUACUUCCUCCCAUAACUUAACUAUCCGCAUCAAUCGUUCUUGUAUAAAAUGAAGGGUAUAUUAGAAAUAAUAACAUUAAAUAGUUUAAAAAUAGUUAACUUUUACUUAUAAUAGUGACCAAAAUUUGAAACAAUUUUUUUACUUUAUAAUAGUGACCAAUACAUACUUAUGAUCAAAGUAGUAAUGAAUAAGGUAAAUUGUCGUAAAAGUAACCGUAUAGCAUAAUCCAAGGAGAACAGUUAUGCUUUCCAACUUGGUAUAUAACUAAAUAUGAUACAUAGUUAAGAAAGAAGAAAACCUACAUAGGAGUGGAAAGACUACUGUUGCAACAACUGCAGAACAACCAGCCACAUGAACACUUGCAGCUUGGCCAGCAAGUCGGCCCUUUAUGGUGGCAGAACCCCCAACUGCAAUUACAGAAGUUGCAAGAACGCCGCGAACUCUUGUUUCUGCCAUGCACAGAAGAUAUAUUCCUCAUUGAAUGGAUAUAAGUUUAGAGAUUUUAAUUUUAUAUAUCUAUACAUGAGCAUAUGCAUAAUUUCUUCAUCAAUUGGUUCAUAUUUAUAACAAUGUACUAUUAACAUGUAUGAUAAAUAAUGUAUAUGGAUGAAAGAAUGAUAUUGACUUGUCUCAAAAGGAAAAGGAAAAGGAAUAGAAUAGACUCACAAUGGGACAAAAGCGUGCCUGAUUGUUUGACUCAGAGUCGUCGCACUCGACUUUGUAGACAUGCUGCGUGCAGCUUCAUGAAGAGACUUUAUGUCAUGUUGGUCUUCUUCAUUGAGAUGUGGUUUGAACCUGAAAGAUUCUUCUAAUGGUUCGAGGUCCUCUAUGUCAUCACUUUUACUGGCAAUGUCUAUCUUCUCUAUUGUUACUGAUGGAAUUCGGUUAAACGUAUUUUGCUCGACAG
rnacentral:lncRNA from 1 species